rnacentral:lncRNA from 1 species
GUCACAGGGCACUAGAUGGGGAAAACCUAGGGCUUUAGCUCCCCGGUGCAAUUCCCCUCCAUUCUCACUAUAGCAAGCAGUUCUCAGAAAGAGAAAGGAGGCCCCAAGCAGCUGCUGGGGGCUUGAGAGGAUUGGAGGGUGGGGGCGUUCCCACCUGUAGUUCAGGAGGGGCAGUCAGAGGCUGCAGUUUUUCAUUGUUGCCUGGUGCCCAACACCUCUUCCGCAAUGCUGGGGGAUUUCCAUGUCUUGUUAGCAUUAUGACCAGUAGUGUGAGCCUUGCUUUCCCAGGGAAUAUAGGAUCUAAUACAUGCAUUCACUUAUGCAGCAAUAUCACUUAAAAGUUUUCUAAUACUUACGAACACCUAAAGGAGACACUCUUUUAGUCCCUGAAUUAAUGGAAAUCCCUCUGACUCACCUCUUCCUCAGCAUAAAAAAGAAAACAAUUAGGUAGCCUCUCACACAAACAGGUCAUGACAGAUAGUUUAGUCAUAGACAGCCGGAGUCGUAAAGACUUAGGCUAGUGAGCUUGUCUCAUAUAAAUUUGUAGGAAUUUUUUGCAAGAUAGUAAAUUUUCUCUAGGAAAUGUAAUUAGACACAUAGUCUCAUUUGAACCCUUUCAAGGAAGGCUUUGCACAAAGCACAUUUACUCUCCUGUGAGGCAGGCUGAGUCUCCCGCGUCUUCAGUCAAUGUGCCUGGGAAAAUGAGACUCGGUAAUAAAAAAUCUGUUUAUUCUGGGCAGUGCCCUGUGACCAUGACCAGAUUUGGGGAUGUCUGUGGCUGUGAAGCACAGGGCCAUGUGUCACUUUGGACAAGAUGUGCUGGCACUCACUCUUCUUUCUGUUUGUCUUCUCUGCACUUUCCUUCCUUCUGGAAGUCCUUUCAGGAUCCCACUCAGAAAUAAAAGCAAUGCA